rnacentral:misc_RNA from 1 species
GAUGAAGAACGCAGCGAAAUGCGAUAAGUAGUGUGAAUUGCAGAAUUCAGUGAAUCAUCGAAUCUUUGAACGCACAUUGCGCCCCUUGGUAUUCCAUGGGGCAUGCCUGAUCGAGCGUCAUUUGUACCUUCAAGCUUUGCUUGGUGUUGGGUGUUUGUCCCUCGGGACUCGCCUUAAAGUCAUUGGCAGCCAGUGUUUUGGUUUUGAAGCGCAGCACAAGUCGCGAUUCAAGGCUAUCCGCCCGCUUCCACAAGCCUUUUUCACUUUUGACCUCGGAUCAGGUAGGGAUACCCGCUGAACUUAAGCAUAUCAAUAAGCGGAGGA